rnacentral:lncRNA from 1 species
UCUCAACUUGAAUCCAACCUAAGCAAUAGUCCAAUCCAUUUCGGACUAUAAAUAAAAUCCCAAAAUCCAAAGUCCACAAAUAAAAUUCCAAAACCCAAAAUCCACAAAUAAAACCAAAAGCCCAAAGUCCACAAAUAAAACCUACGACCGCAAAGUCGUUAAACUAAUCCGAAAUUCAUACGACCGUAAAGUCGUUAAACAACACCCAAAUUCAAGUGACCGUAAGGUCAUUAAACUAAACCCAAAAUCAAUAGACCGUAAAGUCGUUAAACCAAACCCAAAUUCAAACGACCACAAAGUCGUUAAACUAAAUAAUCAAAUUCAAACGACCAUAAAGUCGUUAAACUAAACCCAAAUUCAAACGACCGCAAAGUCGUUAAACUAAUAAAUCUUAACUUCAAUCGACCGCCAUGUCAUUAAACUGAGCACCACAACUCAAACCAACCACUAUGUCGCUAAACUGAGCAUCUUAACUUCAAUCGACUGCUAUGUCAUUAAACUGAGUACCACAACUCAAACUAACCGCCAUGUCAUUAAACUGAGCAUCUCAACUUCAAUCGACCGUCAAGUUGCUAAACUG